rnacentral:rRNA from 1 species
AAGUCGUAACAAGGUUUCCGUAGGUGAACCUGCGGAAGGAUCAUUAUUGAAAUAAACCUGAUGAGUUGUUGCUGGUUCUCUAGAGAGCAUUGUGCACGCUUGUCAUCUUUAUGUCUCCACCUGUGCACAUUUUGUAGACCUGGAUCACUCUCUGAAAUGCUAACCAGCAUUUUAGGUUGGAGGAAUUUGACUUUGUUGUCUUUCCUUGCAUUUCUAGGUCUAUGUUCUUUUUCAUAUAAUCUUAUUGUGAUAUAAUGGACCCUAUAUAAUAUAAACCUAUACAACUUUCAGCAACGGAUCUCUUGGCUCUCGCAUCGAUGAAGAACGCAGCGAAAUGCGAUAAGUAAUGUGAAUUGCAGAAUUCAGUGAAUCAUCGAAUCUUUGAACGCACCUUGCGCUCCUUGGUAUUCCGAGGAGCAUGCCUGUUUGAGUGUCAUUAAUAUAUCAACCUCUUCAAAUUUUGAGAGUGUUUGGAUGUGGGGGGUGUUAUUUUGCUGGCCUUCUCCAAGGUCAGCUCCCCUGAAAUGUAUUAGCGGAACAAUUUGUUGACCGUUCAUUGGUGUGAUAGCAUAUCUACGCUAUUGACGUGAAGCAAGUUCAGCUUAUAACAGUCCAUUGACUUGGACAAUUCUCUAUUUAUUAAUGUGACCUCAAAUCAGGUAGGACUACCCGCUGAACUUAA